UACGUAGGGUGCAAGCGUUGUCCGGCAUUAUUGGGCGUAAAGAGCUCGUAGGCGGUCUGUCACGUCGGCUGUGAAAACCCGAGGCUCAACCUCGGGCCUGCAGUCGAUACGGGCAGACUAGAGUUCGGCAGGGGAGACUGGAAUUCCUGGUGUAGCGGUGAAAUGCGCAGAUAUCAGGAGGAACACCGGUGGCGAAGGCGGGUCUCUGGGCCGACACUGACGCUGAGGAGCGAAAGCGUGGGGAGCGAACAGG
rnacentral:rRNA from 1 species